rnacentral:lncRNA from 12 species
UUGGAAAUAAGGUUGCCCCUUUCCUCCAAGUAUAGGGAAGUCACCUCUCACAUGAGGGUUUUAUGAUUUGCUUCAGAGGGAGGUCAGAAAGUGCUUCCCUACACCGGCCAUUUCUCAAAUUCCUUAGCAUGAAAUAUUCAAUAUUCCAAGGGGCUCUAUUUUGAGAGAGUGACCUCAUCCUAGGCUAAAACCUCAACACAGAAGUUCCAUACGACCAUACUGAACAGAAUCAUCAGAGGCCCUCACAAAUUUCAACUUAUCUAGUUAAUGAGUCUCAAACUGGACUUCAAGCUAUGACUUCAGGGAAUAAAGAACAUUGGCUCCUUCAUCUUCUAAGUUGCCAUGUUCAGUCAGCCAAUUACUGACUGCUUAAUCUAUAUAUACCCAGUUCUCAAGAGUUUUAUGUAAGAAUCACUCAAUUCCCAGACUCUUUUAUGACAGUAUUUAGAAUCAGAGAGGAAAUUAAAUAAAGAGGUGCCUGUGUAGCUGGGCCUAUGACCAUUGGAAGGAAGUUCCUUACACGUAGUCUUACCAUGUAAUGAGUAGGAGAGAAAGGCAGGACCAAGCUAGAGCUCAGAAAAUGCUUGUCUUGAAGCUUCUACCUUUAAGAGUAUCUAGGUCUGGGGUAAUCAGUUUUCUGUUGUUACUAUGACUUCCAAUUAGAUAGAUAGAUAGAUAGAUAGAUAGAUAGAUAGAUAGAUAGAUAUAAAUAGAUAAAUGGAUUGGUUGCUUUUCCUUUAACUAGGCUACAGAAGUAUUGAUUCCUAUGGGCAUUGAGACCAUACCAGUCCAGAUGAGAUCCCACCAUGAAAAGACCAAAGCGACAGGAAAUCUUCUGAAUCAGAAAAAGCCUGGAACUUGGAUUCUCAAAAGUAAAUUCUCCAACUCUUUAUACUUCACCACCACUGGAUCUAGCUGACGUCACCCGAAGGAACAGAGUGCACUGUUUGCACAGGGACACAGGUAACCUAGACUUGGGUCUAAGAUGAGCUUGAGCCCGGGAUGAUAGAGUUAUUAAUAGAAUCAGGCUUUUAACUAUACUUGACAAGGAAAUACUCGGAUUUGAGAGGAAGCUAGAAAGCAUAUGAAAAUUUGGGUCAGUGGAUUAAAGAAGGAGAACAUCUGAAAGGAGAAAAAAUGUAAUCAAAGACAAAUAAAUAGGCCCUUCUAAUAUCA